rnacentral:lncRNA from 1 species
CGGCAGUGGGAUUCAUUCAUAUCUUCCUGCACUCCUGCCAGCAGUACAUGGCACAGCCCAAGCCACCCUAGGCCAGCCUGGAGUCUUUUCCAUGCUCUGAUCACCUAAGCUGCCUCAGAACUCAUUUGCUUCUCUCCUUCCUGGAAAGCUUCCCUUUAUGUUUUAUUUUGACCCCAGAUGUCCAGAUGUUUUGCAGUGUCUGGGGCUUGUGCCCCUUGUUGUUCGUUCUGCUUCUUUGCCCCUUUCCUCUACAUGGAGUGAUUAUGUUGACAAUAAUGUGUAAUGCGCGUUCUUUUCACUGGUUUAUCUACAGAAAUUUCUCUGGGCCUUUUUUCUGUGUUUGAUUCAACACUGCACUAAGCGGGG